rnacentral:rRNA from 1 species
CCUACGGGUGGCUGCAGUGGGGAAUAUUGGACAAUGGGGGCAACCCUGAUCCAGCCAUGCCGCGUGUGUGAAGAAGGCCCUCGGGUUGUAAAGCACUUUCAGUGAGGAAGAACGCCUGGUGGUUAAUACCCAUCAGGAAAGACAUCACUCACAGAAGAAGCACCGGCUAACUCCGUGCCAGCAGCCGCGGUAAUACGGAGGGUGCGAGCGUUAAUCGGAAUUACUGGGCGUAAAGCGCGCGUAGGUGGCUUGAUAAGCCGGUUGUGAAAGCCCCGGGCUCAACCCGGGAACGGCAUCCGGAACUGUCAAGCUAGAGUGCAGGAGAGGAAGGUAGAAUUCCCGGUGUAGCGGUGAAAUGCGUAGAGAUCGGGAGGAAUACCAGUGGCGAAGGCGGCCUUCUGGACUGACACUGACACUGAGGUGCGAAAGCGUGGGUAGCAAACAGGAUUAGAUACCCCGGUAGUC